rnacentral:rRNA from 1 species
ACUCAAAUGAAUAGACGGGGCUCCGCACAAGCAGUGGAUCAUGUGGUUUAAUUCGAUGCUACGCGUAGAACCUUACCAGGGCUUGACAUCCCGAUCGUACCCCUAGGAAACUAGGGGGUCAGUUCGGCUGGAUCGGUGACAGGCGCUGCAUGGCCGUCGUCAGCUCGUGUCGUGAGAUGUUGGGUUAAGUCCCGCAACGAGCGCAACCCUUGUCGUGUGUUGUAUUUUUCACGCGAGACCGCCCGGGCCAACCGGGAGGAAGGUGGGGAUGAAGUCAGGUCAGCAUGGCCCUUACGCCCUGGGCUACACACGUGAUACAAUGGCCGGAACAACGGGUCGCUAACCCGCAAGGGGGAGCUAAUCCCAUCAAACCCGGUCCCAGUUCGGAUUGCAGGCUGCAACUCGCCUGCAUGAAGUUGGAAUUGCUAGUAACCGUGGGUCAGCACACCACGGUGAAUACGUUCCCGGAGCUUGUACACACCGCCCGU